rfam:Camelus ferus unplaced genomic scaffold scaffold306, whole genome shotgun sequence.
AACAAGGCUUUUGUUAAAGCCACAAUCAUGCUUAAUUAUAAAAUA